rnacentral:rRNA from 1 species
AGGUAAUAGAUACCCUGGUAGUCCACGCUGUAAACGAUGGAUACUAGGUGUAGGGGGCGUAGCCCUCUGUGCCGCAGUUAAACACAUUAAGUAUCCCGCCUGGGGAGUACGAUCGCAAGAUUAAAACUCAAAGGAAUUGACGGGGGCCCGCACAAGCAGCGGAGCAUGUGGUUUAAUUCGACGCAACGCGAAGAACCUUACCAAGGCUUGACAUCUGUAGAAUUCGGUAGAAAUACUGAAGUGCCCUUUCGGGGGAACUGCAAGACAGGUGGUGCAUGGUUGUCGUCAGCUCGUGUCGUGAGAUGUUAGGUUAAGUCCUGUAACGAGCGCAACCCCUGUUGUUAGUUGCUACCAUUAAGUUGAGCACUCUAACGAGACUGCCGAGGUUAACUCGGAGGAAGGUGGGGAUGACGUCAAAUCAUCAUGCCCUUUAUGCCUUGGGCCACACACGUGCUACAAUGGCCGGUACAAAGAGAAGCAAGGCAGCGAUGCGGAGCAAAUCUCAAAAACC